rnacentral:rRNA from 1 species
UAGGGAAUCUUCGGCAAUGGACGAAAGUCUGACCGAGCAACGCCGCGUGAGUGAAGAAGGUUUUCGGAUCGUAAAACUCUGUUGUUAGAGAAGAACAAGGACGUUAGUAACUGAACGUCCCCUGACGGUAUCUAACCAGAAAGCCACGGCUAACUACGUGCCAGCAGCCGCGGUAAUACGUAGGUGGCAAGCGUUGUCCGGAUUUAUUGGGCGUAAAGCGAGCGCAGGCGGUUUCUUAAGUAUGAUGUGAAAGCCCCCGGCUCAACCGGGGAGGGUCAUUGGAAACUGGGAGACUUGAGUGCAGAAGAGGAGAGUGGAAUUCCAUGUGUAGCGGUGAAAUGCGUAGAUAUAUGGAGGAACACCAGUGGCGAAGGCGGCUCUCUGGUCUGUAACUGACGCUGAGGCUCGAAAGCGUGGGGAGCAAACA